AACCAGCACCUCAAGUGGUCAGGAUGAUUAUUGGGCCUAAAGCAUCCGUAGCCGUUUCUGUAAGUCUUCGGUUAAAUCUAUGUGCUUAACAUGUGGGCUGCCGAAGAUACUGCAGAGAUAGGGAGUGGGAGAGGUAGACGGUACUUGAUAGGAAGGGGUAAAAUCCUUUGAUCUAUCGAUGACCACCUGUGGCGAAGGCGGUCUACCAGAACACGUUCGACGGUGAGGGAUGAAAGCUGGGGGAGCAAACCGG
rnacentral:rRNA from 1 species